GAUCCUGGCUCAGGAUGAACGCUAGCUACAGGCUUAACACAUGCAAGUCGAGGGGCAGCAUGAUUGAAGCUUGCUUCAAUUGAUGGCGACCGGCGCACGGGUGAGUAACACGUAUCCAACCUUCCGUACACUCAGGGAUAGCCUUUCGAAAGAAAGAUUAAUACCUGAUGGUAUCUUAAGCACACAUGUAAUUAAGAUUAAAGAUUUAUCGGUGUACGAUGGGGAUGCGUUCCAUUAGGUAGUAGGCGGGGUAACGGCCCACCUAGCCUACGAUGGAUAGGGGUUCUGAGAGGAAGGUCCCCCACAUUGGAACUGAGACACGGUCCAAACUCCUACGGGAGGCAGCAGUGAGGAAUAUUGGUCAAUGGACGAGAGUCUGAACCAGCCAAGUAGCGUGAAGGAUGAAGGUCCUACGGAUUGUAAACUUCUUUUAUAAGGGAAUAAAACCUCCCACGUGUGGGAGCUUGUAUGUACCUUAUGAAUAAGCAUCGGCUAACUCCGUG
rnacentral:rRNA from 1 species